rnacentral:rRNA from 1 species
UACAGAGGUCUCAAGCGUUUGUUCGGAUUCAUUGGGCGUAAAGGGUGCGUAGGUGGCGUCGUAAGUCAGGUGUGAAAUUUCGGAGCUUAACUCCGAAACUGCAUUUGAUACUGCGGUGCUUGAGGACUGGAGAGGAGACUGGAAUUUACGGUGUAGCAGUGAAAUGCGUAGAGAUCGUAAGGAAGACCAGUGGCGAAGGCGG